CCUACGGGAGGCAGCAGUGAGGAAUAUUGGUCAAUGGACGAGAGUCUGAACCAGCCAAGUAGCGUGAAGGAUGACUGCCCUAUGGGUUGUAAACUUCUUUUAUAUGGGAAUAAAAUGCUCCACGUUUGGGAUUUUGUAUGUACCAUAUGAAUAAGGAUCGGCUAACUCCGUGCCAGCAGCCGCGGUAAUACGGAGGAUCCGACCGUUAUCCGGAUUUAUUGGGUUUAAAGGGGGCGUAGGUGGUUUGUUAAGUGAGUUGUGAAAGUUUGCGGCUCAACCGUAAAAUUGCAGUUGAAACUGGCAGUCUAGAGUACAGUAGAGGUAGGCGGAAUUCGUGGUGUAGCGGUGAAAUGCUUAGAUAUCACGCAGAACUCCGAUUGCGAAGGCAGCUCACUGGACUGCAACUGACACUGAGGCUCGAAAGUGUGGGUAUCGAACAGGAUUAGAUACCCGAGUAGUC
rnacentral:rRNA from 1 species